CUUAUAAAAACUCCUCUUUUCUAACAGUCGUCCAAAUUCAUAGUUCAACUGGCGAAGCAAAGCCGUCAAUUACGGUAGGGUAUCUUAGUAUGAUCCAUUGUGUAUCUCUUACAUUUUCUUGUUCAAUUUAAAUUCAUUGUUUUGGUACAAUCAAAUCGAUUUAUCUUUUUAUUCCUUAAAUUUUUUAAAUUUUAAUUUUAUUAGUUUAAAUUUUUUUCUGGGUCUGUGAUGCACCGGCAAGCCCCUUGCUGCGUAUAGUUUUUUCGUCGCAAGGAAAAUUCGAGAAAAUGGGUAUUAAAGAGGUGCUAAAUUUAAACUAUUGGCAUGAGUUUGUGCGAUGGAUUUGAUGUCUUCUUUCGCGCAAUUCUCUUUACGCCCGAAUAAAGAAAUUAACCCUGAUGUUGAACCUUGGAAAUGGCAAAGCAAAAUGAUGAGUUUGUUUUUUUUCCUUAAUCUGAAUUCUGAUGUGAAAUGCGUUAUCGUGGUCUUCAAAGUUCUCUGAUUGCUUUGCUGGCUCUUACCAUUAUUAUGUUUAAGAAAUUAUUUGGAUGCUUCUCAAUUUUUUUUCUUACUAAUGCUCAAAUGAUUAGCACUUUUUCGUUUUGUUUUGUUGUGAGCAACAGUGCGCUUUUAGAUUAAUUGGUUGAUGUUACUCCGUUUGAUUUUCUUUUGUGUUGUAUUUUCAUUUUUUCUAUUUGGGGUAUUCUCUUACAUCUACUCUGCUAGUUAGUGUAAUGAAGGUAUCUUUAAGACAAAGCCAGAUCGAUAAGAUUCGCUGACCAAAACAUUUGGAGGUUGAGUCCCCAAUAUCUUCGCAGAUUAGUAAAUGAGACCCAUCAAAAGCCUGAGAGCAGUAUUUUUUUUUAAAAUUUUUUUUUCCCCAUCGAAGCUGAUAUAGAAUGUUAGCAGGAUUAUAAUUUUAUUCUUGUUGGGGGCUGUUAUUCGGACCAGUAGUAGAUCAAUUUUGAAAUUGAUGACUUAUGCAUUAGGUAGUCAAAUGUUAAUGCUAGUUUGAGUUGCAUAUAAAUGUUUGAUUUGGUAUUUGUGAUGUUAUUUCACAAAUUUGGCUCUCUGUCUAUGAGCAGAAUAUAUAUAUAUAUAUAUAUGUGUGUGUGUGUGUGUGUGUGUGUGUAUAAUAUUUUAUGAUUAUUAAUAUUAUUUUUUUUUGCCUUGGAAUUUUUCUACAUACAUUAGUCUUGAGUGUAUAGAACAAUACAUAUUUCUUUGAAAUUUGUAGUUAGUGUCUUUUUGUGGACCUUUUCUGGCUACCUGAAGCCACUGGUUGCAGUGUCAGCAAAAUGAUGAGAUUCUUUAGUCUGAAUUAACAUGUGGAAUCCCAUAUCGUAUUGGUCUUCAAAGUUCUCUGAUUGCUUUUGCUGGUAUUGGCUUGUAAAAUGAAAAAUUAAAAAAAAAAAAAAAAAAAAACCAAAACAUUCCAGGUUAUAUUUUAUAACUUUUGUGGUGUGAAGUGUUCUUAUGCAAUGAUAAAAAACCUAAGUGUUAUUCAAUUAUCUGUUUGACUAAAUGCCUCGCUGAAUUGGUUGGAUGUUGCAUUUCUAAUGUUCUAGAGCAAUCCUAGAGUCUGUCAACCCUUAAUUUGUGUGUAUUUGACAUGAUUACUUUUUUCUUUGAAACUUGUAGUUAUUGUCUGUUUGUGGACCUUUUCUUGGCUACCUGAAGCUAAUGGUUGCAGUACCAGCAAAAUGAUGAGGUUUUUUAGACUGAAUUAACAUGUGGAAUCGCAUAUCAUAUUGGUCUUCAAAGUUCUCUGAUUGCUUUUGCUGAUAUUGGCUUGUAAAAUGAAAAUAAAUAAAUAAAUGAAUGAAUCAUUCCAAGUUAUAUACGUGUGGUGUAAAGUAUUCGUAUGUAUUGAUAAAACCUAUUAAGUGAUUUUCAAUUAUUCAACUAUCUGUUUGAUUAAAUGCCUCUCUAAAUUGGCUGGAUGUUGCAUUUCCAGUGCUCUAGAGCUAUCCUAAAGUCUGUCAGCCCUUAAUUUAUGUGUACUUGACAUGAUUACUGGUGCUGCAAGGAUUGACCAAUGUGGCCUUUUUAUUUUUAUAUGGAAUUUUGAUAUUUUGAUUAUAUGCUGUAUGUCAACCAAGUAAUGAACGCUUGAAAGGAUUUUUUCCCUGCUAGAUAUGGAUUUAAUUAGAAAUACUUCCAAUGGUUUCUGCUUUGAUGUUGAAUUCCUUAUGAAAUCAACAAAAUGAAUGAAUGCACCAAAAUUCAUAGUCUGUCAUGUACAUGUAUUUCAGGCUGUACGAGCAUGGUGCGAUAAUAUAAUAUUUUUUAGCUUGUUCAUAGCUGCUUUAUGUCUUUGUUCAAUGACAAUCAAAGCAAAAGCUAGGGAAGAAGACAUGUUAUUGUAUCGUAACUUUUCUUUGAUCUCAUAAUACUUAAUUGUCUUCUUAUUCUUGUCCCAUAUUGCAGACUUUGAGGGGGGCUAGAUAAAAAACAUUACUUAAUCUAUGUUCUUUUAUGGUAUUUGCUCCGUUAUCUAUUUAUUUAUUUUUUCAUGUUGGCCAAAAAAAAAAAAAAAAAAAAUUGGAGACAAUAACAUGAAGAAUAAUAUCAACUUUUAUUUUUUUUAAUAUUAUUUUUAAUUAUGUGUGAUUAGUUUCUUGAUCAUGAAUCUAUUGUGUUUCCUCCUUGGUGGUGAAAUCUCCUGUACUUAUAUCAGUUAAAAUAAGUAGAAUAGUUGGCGAAAAUCAACGAAAUAUCGUCGAUAUUUUUACCGAUAUUUACGAAAAGAUUCAAAAAAAUCAUAAGAAGAUGUCGGUUUGUUAGUACAACCGAAGAUGAUUUUUACUGUUAUGUUUUAACCUAAUGAAAAUGGGCUGGACUUCUAGAAAUGUGUAGGGCUGCUGGGUUGAGUAUUUCACAAACUUGAGGUAAUAAACUGGGCUCACCGCUCAUGGCUGAAACAAACAUGAGGCUUUCUCAAAACAAAAUAAAUAUAAAUUUCUAAAAUAUGUUUAAAUAGUAAUUAGUUUCUACCAUAAAAAUUACUUUACACUUUCAAGUAAAAAAUGGAAGGGUAAUAACAAUGAUAAAUAAAAUAAAAUACAAUAAUUAUGAUGCAAAUAAAUUAGCAGAGGGCUUACGUAUUGAUCAAUCUCAUUGAAUAGAUUCUUAAGAUUUUAAAAAUCACAUAAUUAUAUUAAUAUUUAAAACUUUUAAGCGUGUUAAUUAAUAUAGAAUUUUAAUGUUUUAUAUAUAUAUAUAUAUAUAUUGUCUCAAAAAAUAUUGCUAUAUAUGAUAAAAAAAAGUAAAUACUUAUUACUAUAUAAAUUAUAACUUGGUAAUUUAUGUUAUAUUUAACCAACAUUAUUAUUUCAUUUUUUUUUUUGGGUGAAUAAAAAAAGAUGCCUCAUGUAGUAUCAUAAAGCAUUAGGUGACCGCAUGGCAUUGCAGCAUGGAAUCAUUUGAGGCAAUAACGAAAUUAGUCAAGAUUCGAAUUUAAAUUUCCAAAUCUACAAAUGUGAAGGUUAAAUGGUUUUUUUCCGCUAAGCUAUUAACAUUAUUAUUUUAGUUAAUGUAUUAUUUUGUUCUUAUACAAUUUAAAAUUUUUUUACAUGCAAAAUUGUAUGCUUUUAAUAUAAAAUAUGUAAAUUUUAUAAUUUUAUCUAAAUUUUUGUUGAUAUCGAUAUUUUCAUCGAAAUUUUCAUAAAAUUAUAUCAUCAAUAUUUUCAUCGACAUCAAUUUUAUCAUUGUUGGGAGUACUUAACCUUUUUUUAUUAAUCAAGAUUUAAAAAAAAAAAAACUAUUUAUCAUUAUUGUAGAUUAAAACUGGACCGUUUUCAAAGAGUGAACAUUAAUUAAUUGCGCACUCUUUUAUGUCUUAUUCAUAAAAUUAAUACCAAGUGUGGGAAGUUUAGGUAGCUAUUAAUUACUUGAUAAUUAAGUCUAAGGUAACUAAGAAUAUUUGUAGGAGGUAUAGUGCAAAAAUUUCCGAAAGCCCAUUAAUUAUACACUCUAAUUAUGAGCAUCCUUCUUAAAUGCAAUUACCAAUUUAUUUGGAAAAAUAAUUAUGGUCCACAAGUUUGUGCUAUUAAAAAAGGUCGGAGGAGCACAAAGAAAUAGUAUCAUCCAAUUCCUAUCUGCCUUUCCAUUGUGAAAAUGGAAAAGUGUUCCUCCAAGUUAGCUUUCUUGAUUGCUCUGAUGUUGGUUUUAGCUUUGGGCUGUGACGCAAGAGGUGCAGAAAGAAAUCAUGUAGAGUGUAAAUCAUGCAACACUCCAGCAGAAUGUUCUGAUGAUCCAGCCAAGUGCAUUUGCGUUUUAAGCUGUUGCGUGUGUAGAUCUGAGGAAGCUCACCCUUUUAGAUUUAAAGGAAACUAAUUGAAUCACUAAACUCAAUAUAUGACAAUGCCUUGGCUUAAUUAAUGUUGUUGAACCACCAUAUGGGAAAUUGAUAUUAAUUGUUGCGUUCAAUUAGUAUAUGUGGUACUCCUUGGAAAUUAAAUGGCCUAUAUGGUUAUUAUUAUUUUCUAAUAAAAUAAUUAAGUUUUAUGUUGCUCUC